rnacentral:piRNA from 1 species
UGGUCUGAAGAUUGAUACCAAGUGCUGACC